rnacentral:rRNA from 1 species
UACGAAGGGGGCUAGCGUUGCUCGGAAUUACUGGGCGUAAAGGGCGCGUAGGCGGACAGUUUAGUCAGAGGUGAAAGCCCAGGGCUCAACCUUGGAAUUGCCUUUGAUACUGGCUGUCUUGAGUUCGGGAGGGGUGAGUGGAAUGCCGAGUGUAGAGGUGAAAUUCGUAGAUAUUCGGCGGAACACCAGUGGCGAAGGCGACUCACUGGCCCGAUACUGACGCUGAGGCGCGAAAGCGUGGGGAGCAAACAGG